ACUCGACCCCAUGAAGUCGGAGUCGCUAGUAAUCGCAGAUCAGCAACGCUGCGGUGAAUACGCUCCCGGGCCUUGUACACACCGCCCGUCACGUCAUGAAAGUUGGUAACACCCGACGCCAGUGGCCUAACCCUUGUGGGGGGAGCUGGCGAAGGUGGGAUCGGCGAUUGGGACGAUGUCGUAACAAGGUAGCCGUACCGGAAGGUGCGGCUGGAUCUCCUCCUUUUUAUGG
rnacentral:rRNA from 1 species